UUAGUAUUCCCUCCGUCCGGAAAUACUUGUCAUCAAAAUGACUAAAAUGAAAUGUAUCUAGACAUAUUUCAGUUCUAAAUACAUUCUUUUUAUCCAUUUUGAUGACAAGUAUUUUCGGACGGAGGGUAUGUAUG
rfam:Triticum aestivum genome assembly, contig: Triticum_aestivum_CS42_TGACv1_scaffold_249706_3DL